UCUCCAGUGUGGAAACUGCACGAAGGAACAGCAAAAGCACUGCUGUUCAUCAGGUUUCCUGAAAACAAAGCAGAAGAAACCGUUGGCCACUUCGGGAGAAGCUGGGUAAAGCUGGGAGCAAAUGUUACAGGAGCCUCUGGAAAGGGCUGAGGUCCUGCUCCUCGGGGAGAUGGAGGGCAGCCC